UUCAAACACGGACUUUCUUUGAUUUCUUCACCUUCCAGUUUUGAUGCCUUCACGCUUCCGCAACUUCACGUUUUCCUUCCAUCUUCCACUUUCUUCUCAUUUCUUCAUCUUUAAUUUGGUCUUUGGGUACCUUCGUUUCAUUGUUUAUGUUGUUUUCGAUUUCUCCACUGCAUCAUCUAUAGACUUAUUUGCUUUUCGUUUGAAAUUGUCGUUCAAGAAAAGGGAAAAAAAAUGAAAAUGACGGAAGUAACAAAGGAUGUUAACAAUGUUAGGCCAAAGAGACAACUUAACUGACCAAAGAAAAUGUUGGAGAAUGCAAAAGACUAUAAUAUUUCAAGAGACUGAUUGAUUUGUCCCUAGUUUUGAUUUGCAACUCUCUGAUUGAGUAAAUGGAUAUUGUAUUAUUAGUUUUGCAGAUAUUUCAUGAUAGAAAAUAUCAAUGAUAAACUUCAUAUUUUAUUUGAUUUUGUUUAAUUGAUAUAGAAAAGUGUUGGACCACAGGUUGAGUAUUGCAAAUUGACUGAUCUUCAAUGGAUGUUAAAGUUUAUUAAUGAUAGACCAUAACGGUGAAAAAGACUUCACAGUGA